rnacentral:rRNA from 1 species
GCCCGUGGUAGACUACCACGUCGAUAGGCUGGAGGUGUAAGUGCAGUAAUGCAUUCAGCUGACCAGUACUAAUUGGCCGUGUGUCUUGACCCU